rnacentral:rRNA from 1 species
UGCAGUCGAACGGCAGCACGGGAGCAAUCCUGGUGGCGAGUGGCGAACGGGUGAGUAAUAUAUCGGAACGUGCCCAGUCGUGGGGGAUAACGCAGCGAAAGCUGUGCUAAUACCGCAUACGAUCUCUGGAUGAAAGCGGGGGACUCGUAAGAGCCUCGCGCGAUUGGAGCGGCCGAUAUCAGAUUAGCUAGUUGGUGGGGUAAAGGCCCACCAAGGCGACGAUCUGUAGCUGGUCUGAGAGGACGACCAGCCACACUGGAACUGAGACACGGUCCAGACUCCUACGGGAGGCAGCAGUGGGGAAUUUUGGACAAUGGGCGCAAGCCUGAUCCAGCAAUGCCGCGUGCAGGAUGAAGGCCUUCGGGUUGUAAACUGCUUUUGUACGGAACGAAAAGGUCUGCCUUAAUACGGUGGGCCCAUGACGGUACCGUAAGAAUAAGCACCGGCUAACUACGUGCCAGCAGCCGCGGUAAUACGUAGGGUGCGAGCGUUAAUCGGAAUUACUGGCGUAAAGCGUGCGCAGGCGGUUAUAUAAGACAGAUGUGAAAUCCCCGGGCUCAACCUGGGACCUGCAUCUGUGACUGUAUAGCUAGAGUACGGUAGAGGGGGGAUGGAAUUCCGCGUGUAGCAGUGAAAUGCGUAG